rnacentral:rRNA from 1 species
GGAAUUUUGGACAAUGGGCGAAAGCCUGAUCCAGCGACGCCGCGUGGGUGAUGAAGGCCUUCGGGUUGUAAAGCCCUUUCACCGGGGACGAUGAUGACGGUACCCGGAGAAGAAGCACCGGCUAACUCCGUGCCAGCAGCCGCGGUAAGGCGGAGGGUGCUAGCGUUGUUCGGAAGCACUGGGCGUAAAGGGCGCGUAGGCGGCGUCGCAAGUCGGCUUGUGAAAGCCCGGGGCUCAACCCCGGAGGUGCGGCCGAGACUGCGGUGCUCGAGGCCGGAAGAGGAGGGUGGAAUACCCAGUGUAGAGGUGAAAUUCGUAGAUAUUGGGUGGAACACCGGUGGCGAAAGCGGCUCUCUGGUCCGGUACUGACGCUGAGGCGCGAAAGCGUGGGGAGCAAAC